rnacentral:lncRNA from 1 species
GAUUAUAAACGCAUUGUCAUAAAAAGCAACUUGAAAAUUCCGACCUUCCAACAACUUUCGCCGAGUUAUCAAAGACACACGAGGCUGGCACAAACUUUCCGAACAACCCAUUAUAUCUCUGCUGGAGAAAUGCUACCCUCCCAGUAUCAUCUUCAAAGCUGGUGCAUCUUCAAAGUUGGGAACAUCUCCUUGCAAUCUCAUCUUGUUGAGAUUGUAGGGAGAUGUUCAAGGUGUUUUUCACUUGAACUUGGUAAUAUGGUUCCUGUUGCUAUUGCUUUAUGGGCCUCAGGUUGUUAUCAAGGACAACAGUACCACAUAUACUACAUGUCCAUUUAUAGUGAACAAUUCAUGUUUUGUCUACAUAUGCAACAUGUAUCUGUUUAUUUUUGUCUUUCAGAGUACUGCAGAUGACCAUGUUCUGUAUAGCACUUGAUCAUUUUUAACAACAAUUAUUGUGCUUGUGUAAUAUGCAAGCUCAAAACUAAACAUCACAUAUUGCUAGAGAAAGAUGCCUAUAUCA